AAGAGCACCACGCACCGCCAAGCCGAGGGUGGGGUCACGAACUCUGACCCCCACCCCCAAAACACAAACUCAGAAAGCUCCCCUGUCCCCUUGGCCUCGGGUCCCCUCGCCUCUGCUCUCUCCAGCCCAGCGGCCGCCGCGGCGGGAGGGGUAAGUCGGGUGCGGGGCGGCCCAACCGCCGAGCGUCGUGGCCCGAGCGCCCGUGUCCCUGAGUGUCCCAGCUCCCGGUUACCGGAGAGCCGGACAUUAGCGGAUUGCCCAAAGCCUUGGGAGGCCGGGCCGGGCCGGUGACCUUUCACCUAAAGGGAACGCUUCCGUCUCGGCGCCGCUUCCCCCGCCCCGGGGCUGCGCGCGUGGUGGGUGCAGGGCAGGGAGCUGCGGGGCGCAGGACCGGAGGGACCAUGUACCCCGGGGCUACGGGAUGACACCUCCUCCGGCUCAGGAUUCUGCUUGCAUGAGAGGACCAGCAUCCGCUGUGGCUGUUUCUCUGAGGGAAGGUGGCCUAGGGCUAUCUCAUGCACUGGGCACAUCAAAGCUUCCAGUAGCUCUUUUGUUAGGAGCACUGCCUGAGUUUCUGCAGACAACAUCUCAUGAUGUGCAGAUAUUGCCAGGCUGUCCCCUACCCCUGAGUUAAGCAGGUCAGCCAAAGCUGGAAAGGACAAGCAAAAGAGACUUGAAGUUAAAUCCGUUUAGGGCUUUUUUUUCCACCGCUUGGAAGUUGUUAGUGUGUCUUAGACUUCAAGGAAGGGGUUGUUCUUUGUUUUUAAAACAGUGUCUGCUUGUUUACCGGGUUGAGUAAUUGUCUCUAAACUUUACGUGUCUACUUUGGUAAAUUUGGAAAGAGAUUAUUGAUCUGUUCUAAUCAAACAGCAAACAUGAAAAAGGAAAUCGUUUGGGGAGGGUGUCUUGGGAGUUGUAGUUUGGUGGGACAGAAAUGCAAGUACAUUAGAGAAGAUUCCAGGAAGGGAAGAAAAAGUGGGAGUUUAUUGUGGACCAUUUAACAUUGAGAAAGAACAGAAAGCCUGGAUGACCUGCAGGAAGGAGCCAGGCUGGUGACACAUGCCUGUAAUCCCAGUACUCAGGAGGCUAAAGCAAAGCAGGAAAGGUCACCUGGAGUUCUUGUGGAGACUGGCUUGGAAAUCAUGUAUCCAAACCCCAGAAGAUGUAUAGAAGAUAAAGGAAAGGUCUUACGUCCUUUGUAUCAACAUGGCCAGUAACCUUUUGGUGUGCAUCUUGAACCUUUGGAUACAGUGUAAGUUUUCCAAUUGCAAUCAUUCCAAAGACCUAUUAGUCUAAGGGUGGCAGUAACCACAAUUCCCGUUUCCAAGUUAGACCUUCUGUACAGUUCUAGCCUGUAGGACACCCUUUAUAGCCUCCUAACUCUGGUUUCAAAGGUCGUUUUAAUGUUGCUUCUAUUGUCAUUAAAGAAGAUACUUGAUGCUUGUAUCCAUUACAAACUAAACAUAUGGUGACAAUAAAUUUAACCAAUUUCAUGAUUUCAUCAUUCUGUGUAACGCUUUCAAGGUGAAAGGUUUUCAAGGGGACCAUACAAGGCAGCAAAGCCUAAAUAUCUUCUGAGGGUGUGGUGAAGUGUGUAAUUCCUAUCCCGGUGAUAGCAAAGACCAACCUCAUACAAAAAGUAGCACUAUAAGAUCCUCUGUGCACAGGCACGCGCACACACACACACACACACGUACCCUUUCAAAACCAUCUCCAGAAAAAUGGACCUCUGUUUGAAAGUUUUAAGAGUUAAUCGAAACCAUAGACGUCUGUCCUUAAAUCCCAGUUAACUCUUCCUGUACACUGUAUACAGCGGAUCAUCCAGAAAUAGUGGGUAGAAUGGAAUUUGAGCUGGGUCUCAGAGGUCAGGCACAAGUGUGGUAGGAAAUGGUAUAUGCUACAGAAGCACCGUUUGUGUUUUGUGUGAUAAACUGCUAAUAGUUUACCCCUGGGAUUCCUAAGUGGGGAAUUCCUUGGACUGACUGUAUGCUUGGUAAACCUUGAUAUUUAACAUAUAGCAUUGAGGUAUAAAAGAAUAUGAACUUGUGACUUUCUGGGGAGGGUAAUCUCCACCAGGUUUAAUGAUUUCUGGGUAUGGGUGUUUUGCCUGUGUGUAUAUCUGUGUACCACAAGGGUACUGUGCUCUCCGGGGCCAGAGGAGGGUUUCAGAUCCUCUGGAACUAGAGAUACAGGGGGUAGAGAGCCAACAUAUGGGUGGAGGAAUGGAAUUUAGGUUCUUAACCCUUGAACCAUCUUUCCUGCCUAAGGAGGUCAUUUUCAAUUAUAAAGUCAUCUCUACUGUAAACAUCUCCAAAGAACCAGUUUUUGCCCUGCUUUUCCAUGUUAGCUAUUUUAAUAAGACUUUCAAUUUUAUCUUUUAACAUAAAUAUAUUCCAGUCACUUCCUCGAAGCAACAUGUUUACAUCAUUGAAUAUUUCAAAAACUAUCUGACAAGUAACAGUUUUGAGUGCCAUAAAUCAUUAUUU
rnacentral:lncRNA from 1 species